AUUGAACGCUGGCGGCAUGCCUUACACAUGCAAGUCGAACGGCAGCACGGGUGCUUGCACCUGGUGGCGAGUGGCGAACGGGUGAGUAAUACAUCGGAACGUACCUUAUCGUGGGGGAUAACGCAGCGAAAGCUGUGCUAAUACCGCAUACGCCCUGAGGGGGAAAGCGGGGGAUCGAAAGACCUCGCGCGAUUAGAGCGGCCGAUGCCUGAUUAGCUUGUUGGUGGGGUAAAAGCCCACCAAGGCGACGAUCAGUAGCUGGUCUGAGAGGACGAUCAGCCACACUGGGACUGAGACACGGCCCAGACUCCUACGGGAGGCAGCAGUGGGGAAUUUUGGACGAUGGGGGCAACCCUGAUCCAGCAAUGCCGCGUGAGUGAAGAAGGCCUUCGGGUUGUAAAGCUCUUUUGUCAGGGAAGAGACACCGGCUCUAACGCAGUCCGGGAAUGACGGUACCUGAAGAAUAAGCACCGGCUAACUACGUGCCAGCAGCCGCAGUAA
rnacentral:rRNA from 1 species